ACACGACUACAUUAGAUACCCGCGUAGUCCUAGCCGUAAACGAUACUCGCUAGGUGUCGGCCACGGUGCGACCGUUGUCGGUGCCGUAGGGAAGCCGUGAAGCGAGCCACCUGGGAAGUACGGCCGCAAGGCUGAAACUUAAAGGAAUUGGCGGGGGAGCACAACAACGGGUGGAGCUUGCGGUUUAAUUGGACUCAACGCCGGGAAGCUCACCGGAUAAGACAGCGGAAUGAUUGCCGGGCUGAAGACCCUGCAUGACCAGCUG
rnacentral:rRNA from 1 species